UACGUAGGGGGCGAGCGUUGUCCGGAUUUAUAGGGCGUAAAGAGCUCGUAGGCGGUUCGGUAAGUCGGAUGUGAAAUCUCCACGCUCAACGUGGAGGGGCCAUUCGAUACUGCCGUGACUCGAGUCCGGUAGGGGAGUGUGGAAUUCCCGGUGUAGCGGUGAAAUGCGCAGAGAUCGGGAGGAACACCCGUAGCGAAGGCGGCACUCUGGGCCGGUACUGACGCUGAGGAGCGAAAGCGUGGGGAGCGAACAGG
rnacentral:rRNA from 1 species